GAGGGAAUAAUUUAAUUGGUAAAAUGUGGGCCUCCAAAUCCCUUUUUGCGGGUUCAAGUCCUGCUUUCCUUG
rnacentral:tRNA from 1 species